GCCCAAUUAACACUCAGGUGAGCCCAGGUGAGGUACAGGGGGAUGUUACCUACACCAGGUGAGUGCAGUCCUCGCCCCAGUCCGGCCGGUACUGAGCCCAGGUGAGCCCAGGUGAGCCCAGGUGAGCUCAGGUGACCCCAGGUGUGCCCAGGUGAGCUCAGGUGACCCCAGGUGUGCCCAGGUGACCCCAGGUAAGGUCACAAAGGUGUUACCUACACCAGGUGAGUGCAGUCCUCGCCCCAGUCCGGCCGGUACUGAGCCCAGGUGAGCUCAGGUAACCCCAAUUAACACUCAGGUGACCCCAGGUAAGGUAGGGUGGGUGUUACCUACACC